rnacentral:lncRNA from 1 species
GUCCUUUUAAGAUUCCGAAAAGGUGUGUAUGCUGCAUUAGGAGAUAUUAAGAAAAUGUAUAACUCUGUGUGGUUGGAAGAGCGUGAAAUGCACCUUCAUAGAUUCCUCUGGAGAGACAGUGAGGAGGAACCCGUUCAAGAAUAUGCUAUCACAAGAGUCAACAUGGGGGACCGUCCAGCUGGCUCUAUUGCUCAGUUAGCCAUGCGGGAAACGGCAAGACUACCCGCAUUUGGUCACAUGGUGGUGGAACGCAGAGUCCUUGAGGAGGACAGCUACGUUGAUGAUAUUUUAACCUCCCACAACAGCCAAGAAGAACUGAGUAAAAUCAUAGAAGGAGUUGAAGAAAUACUGAGGGCUGGAGGGUUCUUUCUCAAACCCUGGCUACAAUCAAGGCAAAGUGGGAGGCGACAAAUGAACAUAGAGACCCAGAGAGCUGCAGAAAAGAGAGAUGAAAGUCAAAGAUACAUCCUCCCAAACCAAAUGAGGGACGAAGAUAACAAAGCUCUGGGAAUAGGUUACCAUGUUGAACUUGACAGAUUGUACAUAAUGUCAACGAUUAACUUUUCCAAAAGGAAAAAGAAAAUGAGAACGGGGAAAAAUCUUCUUCAAGAAGAAAUCAGGAACCAGACACCAAACCCACUGACAAGGAGGCAGCUUUUGAGCCAAAUUGCUGGACUGUACGACCCCAUUGGCUUCGUUACACCUAUCAAACAAAAGGGUGCAAUUCUCGUCAGAAAAGCUUUUCAAGAAGCAGGCGCAGGAAAACUAAACUGUGAAACAUGGGACAAGGCUCUUUCAGCAGGCUUAAGAGAAGAAGCUAUACAACUAUUCGAAGAGUACGUGCAGCUUGAACAGAUAAUGUUCCACAGGUGUAUCACGCCAAAUGACUGGGAAGGGGAGCCUUUUGGAGUCACAUUCUCAGAUGGGAGCGAUAAGACAUAUGGAGCUGUGAUUUAUCUAAGAUGGAACACAAAGACAGGUGUUAAGGUGCGAUUGGUAGAAUCAAAGGCCAAGCUGACACCCCUCAAUCAAAAAGGAGAUGCUGUCAAAGCCGAAAUGUGUGGAGCAGUCUUCGCAGCCAGGCUAAGAAAGUAUGUGGAGAAACAAAGUCGGAUGAAGAUAAGCAGAUGGUUCCAUUUAGUUGACAGCCAAACCAUCCUGGGGGCAAUUCAAAGGGAAAGCUAUGGGUACCAAACUUUCUUUGCCAACAGGGUGGGUGAAAUCCAAAGAAUUUGCCCAGUAGAAGAUUGGUGGUGGAUUCCUGGCAAAUACAACAUUGCAGACAUCAUCACGAGGGGCAGCAUCCUCGAUGAAUUAAAAGAUCACUCCACUUGGCAAAAUGGGCCAGAAUUCCUUAAAGUACCGGUGGAGGAGUGGCCCAUAAAAUCGGCUCGGGAGGUUGCAGCACAAGCCAGGGAAGAGGUAAACAAGCUCCAGAGAAAAACAUUUUCUGCCACAUUGACGAGUGAGAAUGUAAAGGUGUUCCCAAAGGC